rnacentral:lncRNA from 1 species
AUCAGGUGAGGUACACCUGCCUGGGACUCUAAGCCUCUGAUAGUCCUUUCCCAAUGAACUCGGUGUCACCUCCUGUGGAGUACUUAGGUUCCACUACUGGCACAUUGGAGUUCUCUUCGCCCCAGCCCGACACCCCCAUCCUCUAGAGUGGCGGGAAUAAAGGAUAAGCCUCAUUGGGUGUGCAGCCCGGAGACCCGAGCGCGCGGGGGCAUGGCUGGGCAUCCCCUCCCUCUCCAGCUCCAGAGACAGCGCACCCUCCGGCCUCGGGAGCAGCGGCGCCCAGCGAUCCCGCGCAGGGCUCUCCUAGGCCGCCAGUGACAUCACGGGCGAAGCGGAUUCCAGGCGCCCGGCUCCUGGUUUUGAGAGACGUAGGUCGGUUAGUCCGUCUCUGUCUGUGGGCCGCUGAAGAGGGCUCAUCGCCGGUUCCGCGCCGCGGGGCGACAGGACCCGGAGGAGGAGGGAGAGCGAAGGCGGCGAGGGAAGGAGGACCCCGGCAGGCGACAGCAUGCAGUUCAGGCCGGCGCACUUCCCGCGGCCUCUCCUGCUGGGGCUGGGCCUCAGCGCCAGGAAUACUUUGCUGUCAGUUAAACUGUAAAAGAAGAGAAAGAGUUUUGUUCCAAUGGUAACAACGAGAAAAACAGACAAAAAAUAUAAAAAUCAUAUUUUUCUAUGAAGCAGAGAAGAGUGGAGGUUUGAAAGAAGCUAAAUGAACUGAAUUUUAUAAAGAAACAAACCCUUCAGAGAAGAGGAGAGAGAAGUAGCUACUUCUUUCUGGGGGUCAAUGCCAGGUUUGGAUUCAGAGUACCACGGGAGGACUGAGGAUGCCAAGAACUAGUUGGAAUGGACUGUAGGUUGGAGGAACCCCAGUUCAGCCAGGCAAUUGUGCCUCUUUCCCCACUCCAACCUUGAGAAUAAAAAACAGUGGAUAAAGACCUGGUAAGUAAAGAGAAGUCACCCAGUUUUGGCUAUUCUCUAAAUGACUGGAUUCCAGAACUUUGUGGAAUUGAAACCAGUAAUGAAGCAAGCCUAUCUGAAAGUGCAGCCAAGUCUUCCAGCUCAAGUACAGACAUCAUCAAAAGCUAACAGAAUAUAACAGAGAUCAGACUAGAGUCAAGAAUUAGACCUAUACUUAUACAACCCCUUGGUUUCAACGGACAUGCCAAUGCACUUAAAAGGGAAAAGACAGUCUCUUUGAGAAAUGUUGGGAAAACUUCCUUUCCAUAUGGGGGGAAAAAAAAAGAACUGCUCUCUAUUAUACGCCAAACACGGUAAUGAAUUUUAUGUCCUUAAUGUAAAAGCUAAAAUUAUAAAACUUCUAAAAGAAAGAUAGGUGAUGUCGUUGUCUGCCUCUAAUCUGUCAUCACUUACAGUUGUUGUAUCUGCCGUGGGGCAGACAUUGCAACUGUGUCCCCACCAGCUUUAGCCUGUCAGUGACAAGUCCCCACAUCAGGAGCUACACAGACACGUACACUCUGCCCAGGGGGUAGCUACUGCACAGGAGCUGAAGGUGAGCAGAGAGAAGACCUCACCUUUCUUCAGGGAGA